rnacentral:rRNA from 1 species
AUUGAACGCUGGCGGCAGGCCUAACACAUGCAAGUCGAGCGGAGCGGCGGACGCGUGCGUAAUGCCUAGGAAUCUGCCUGGUCGUGGUGGAUAACGUCCGGAACUGGGCGCUAAUACCGCAUACUCUCAGAUGAGCCUAGGUCGGAGUGGCUAGUUGGUGGGGUAAAGGCCUACCAAGGCGACGAUCCGUAACUGGUCUGAGAGGAUGAUCAGUCACACUGGAACUGAGACACGGUCCAGACUCCUACGGGAGGCAGCAGUGGGGAAUAUUGGACAAUGGGCGAAAGCCUGAUCCAGCCAUGCCGCGUGUGUGAAGAAGGUCUUCGGAUUGUAAAGCACUUUAAGUUGGGAGGCGUUACCAGCAGAAGAAGCACCGGCUAACUUCGUGCCAGCAGCCGCGGUAAUUC